AAAAAAAAACCAUUUCAUGGACAGAACGAGACGCUGUCUCAAAGAUUAGGAACUCCUCUGUGGGUCGUGUGUGCCGUGAGACUGGACUCCCUAAAGGGCUCUGUGUCCCUUUUAUCAGAUGGGCUCUUUACAGGAUUCUGUGUCUCCCUCAUUGGUCUUGAGCACUUGCUCCCUGGCUGUACUUGGCAAGGGCUUGAGCUGGAAAAGAUGACCAGACUCCCACCGCCCAGAGGGCGUCCCCUGCAGGAGAGCUUCAUGCGCCUGGUGGAGGCCUGUGGGGACUCGGAGCAAAGCAUGGACAACUGGCUGAGUCGGCUGGACGGCUGCCGCUGACUGUAACAUGUAAAGCAGGCACUGAGCACCACCUGCCUGGCAGUCCAGGGCAUGGAGAGGCACAGACAGCACCCUGCUUGUGACUUCACUGGCCCAACUCAUCCUGGACCCCUUGAGCAAGACCAUGGCUGGAUUCCAGGAACUGGUGGAGUGGAAGUGGAUCCAGGAAAGUAAGUGACCACCCAACCCCAGCCUUACCCUCCAUCCAGAAACUUGCUUCCUCGUGCCCAUUGCUCUGCCCCCUCCCCAGGCCAGCCACCCCUUCCAGCUGCGCUGUGCCCAUUCAGCCUUCUCCCAUGCCCACCCCAAGCAUGAGGCACCCACCUUUCUCCUCUUCCUGGACUGCGU
rnacentral:lncRNA from 1 species